rnacentral:rRNA from 1 species
CGGACGGGUGAGUAACGCGUGGGUAACCUGGCCCAUACAGGGGGAUAACACUUAGAAAUAGGUGCUAAUACCGCAUAAGCGCACAGCUUCGCAUGAAGCAGUGUGAAAAACUCCGGUGGUAUACGAUGGAUCCGCGUCUGAUUAGCUGGUUGGCGGGGUAACAGCCCACCAAGGCGACGAUCAGUAGCCGGCCUGAGAGGGUGAACGGCCACAUUGGGACUGAGGCACGGCCCAAACUCCUACGGAAGGCAGCAG